rnacentral:rRNA from 1 species
GUAACACGUAUGUAACUACCUUUACCAGGGGGAUAGCCUCUCGAAAGAGAGAUUAAGACCGAUAAAAUUGCGAACAGAUUGUGAUGCAAUCAAAUAUUUAUAGGGUAAAGAUGGGCAUGCGGAACAUUAGUAGUUGGUAAGGUAAUGGCUUACCAAAGGCUACGAUGUUUAGGGGAUCUGAGAGGAUGACCCCCCCAAAUGGUACUGAGACACGGACCAGACUCCUACGGGAGGCAGCAGUAAGGAAUAUUGGUCAAUGGGCGGAAGCCUGAACCAGCCAUGCCGCGUGCAGGAAGACGGCCCUACGGGUUGUAAACUGCUUUUAUACCGGAAUAAACCUCGAUACGUGUAUCGAGCUGAAUGUACGGUAAGAAUAAGGAUCGGCUAACUCCGUGCCAGCAGCCGCGGUAAUACGGAGGAUCCAAGCGUUAUCCGGAUUUAUUGGGUUUAAAGGGUGCGUAGGUGGCCUGUUAAGUCAGGGGUGAAAGACGGUGGCUCAACUAUCGCAGUGCCCUUGAUACUGACGGGCUUGGAAUGAACUAG